GAGUUUGAUCUUGGCUCAGAUUGAACGCUGGCGGCAUGCCUUACACAUGCAAGUCGAACGGCAGCACGGGAGCUUGCUCCUGGUGGCGAGUGGCGAACGGGUGAGUAAUGCAUCGGAACGUAUCCUGGAGUGGGGGAUAACGUAGCGAAAGUUACGCUAAUACCGACAUAUUCUGUGAGCAGGAAAGCGGGGGACCUUCGGGCCUCGCGCUCUUGGAGCGGCCGAUGUCGGAUUAGCUAGUUGGUGAGG
rnacentral:rRNA from 1 species